AAGAAAUUAGUUAAUAAAUAACAUUAGUAUGUCAUACUAAAAUAAUUAAAAGCUUAAUAUUUCUUU
rnacentral:tRNA from 1 species